UGAAUACUCACCUUAGCAGCACAAGCCUAUAUAUGCUUGUAUUCAGUGGGCGAAGUGACACAAUCUGAAACAGGGCCAGGAAGGAACAGAGUGCCUAUUGUAGUGGCUCUGAUGUUAGUGGAAUAGAGAAUCCACUCCAGGUUUUAGUCCAACUUCAAAGGAAUUAUUUAAACCUAAAAUCUGGAAAGUAUUCACUGUCUGACUGGAGCCAGCAACCUCCACAGCCUGUUGCUUCAUAUCAGCCGGACUGGAAGGGAUUCCAAACACUGCAGCUGUGGGAAGGAACUGAAACCUAAUUGCUAAC
rnacentral:lncRNA from 11 species